GGAGAAAAACACUUGAUGAUAAUCAUUUUUAUAUAAUGUAAUUCCCUCUUCACCUCUUUUUUGGACCAGGCUCAAAAAUGAUAUAAUUAGCAAUAAUCAUAAAAAUUAAUGAAGCAUCAAGUGUGUGUUAGGUUUAUCGCACUAUCACGAUAAGAAAAAUGAAAUACAUCCUACAAAACAAGUUUGUCAUGUUGGGAAUGAGAUGCCAUUAUCAAAAUAGGCGAUGGAAUUGAUUGUUCUUCCAUGAAAAUUAUACAUUAUUGAUUUUUACUUUUUAUAUUUUAAUAGUUUUUGUGGUAAAGUACGUCCCUUGAAUGAAACAUUCCUCCUCAAUAAAAAACGUUGAUAUUAUUAUGUCGUGUACAUAAAAAGUAAUAACUCCUUGAUGACGUCAUAUACAGGGUGGCAGACUGUAAUCCGGUGCUUCAUAUUUCUAGAUUUUCCCGUAAUAUGACGACAAAAUUGUGCAACGCUUUUUAUGUGGUGAAAGAGGCAGAAUCCACGUGUGUUAUUCUGAUAAUUUUGGGGAACAACGGUCCGAGUAUUAGUAAUACUGAGAUCUCAAAGAUGACAGGGAUCGUUAGGAGAAAGACUGUGGAGUUGAGAAAGGCUCUGGUGGUUCAAAAAGACUCAGGAUUGGCUCAUGUAGCUCUGCUAAGACUGUGUGUCCAAUAAUAGUUACCCUCCUAGCUCCUCCGACCUGAAUCCAAUGGAUUAUUUUGUCUGGAGCUAUCUUGAGUCGAAGUUCAAUAGAGAUCAUCCUACCACUAAGAAGUCCCUGAUCGACUCCAUUGUCCUAGGAUGCAAUAAUUUAGAUUAAGCUCUAGUUACAAAGGCCUUCACUCACUCGGGCCCCGAAUCGUGGCCAUUAUUGUGGACAAUAGUGACUACAUUGAGUGAUAUAUAUUCUCAAUGAAUGUAUCUGCUGUUCAGUUUCUGUUUUUGAAUAAAUCUUUUUAAAAGAAA
rnacentral:lncRNA from 1 species